GCUCAACGGAUAAAAGGUACUCCGGGGAUAACAGGCUUAUCACGUCCAAGAGUUCAUAUCGACGACGUGGUUUGGCACCUCGAUGUCGGCUCAUCGCAUCCUGGGGCUGGAGCAGGUCCCAAGGGUUUGGCUGUUCGCCAAUUAAAGCGGUACGUGAGCUGGGUUUAGAACGUCGUGAGACAGUUCGGUCCCUAUCUUCUGUGGGCGCAGGAUAUCUGAGAGGAUCUUUCCCUAGUACGAGAGGACCGGGAUGGACGGACCUCUGGUGUUCCAGUUGUCGCGCCAGCGGCAUCGCUGGGUAUCUAUGUCCGGAUUGGAUAACCGCUGAAAGCAUCUAAGCGGGAAACCAGCCUCAAGAUAAGAUAUCCCUCUACUUCGGUAGACUGAAGACCCCUCGUAGACCACGAGGUUGAUAGGCCGGAUGUGUAAGCGCGGUAACGCGUUGAGCUAACCGGUCCUAAUCGGUCGUGAGGCUUGGCCAUA
rnacentral:rRNA from 1 species